GGGCUUGACAUCCCACGAACCUGCCCGAAAAGGUGGGGUGCCCGCAAGGGAGCGUGGAGACAGGUGGUGCAUGGCUGUCGUCAGCUCGUGUCGUGAGAUGUUGGGUUAAGUCCCGCAACGAGCGCAACCCUCACCCCUAGUUGCCACCGGGUUAAGCCGAGCACUCAAGGGGAACUGCCAGCGUCAAGCUGGAGGAAGGCGGGGAUGACGUCAAGUCAUCAUGCCCCUUACGCCCUGGGCUACACACGUGCUACAAUGGUCAGUACAAAGGGACGCGAGACUGCGAAGUGGAGCUAAUCCCAAAAAGCUGGUCUAAGUUCAGAUUGCAGUCUGUAACUCGACUGCAUGAAGGAGGAAUCGCUAGUAAUCGCGCAUCAGCCCGGCGCGGUGAAUACGUUCCCGGGCCUUGUACACACCGCCCGUCACACCACGAAAGCUGUCUGUACUCGAAGUCGCUGAG
rnacentral:rRNA from 1 species